rnacentral:lncRNA from 1 species
AGCAUAGUCAAACCUAAAAGGGCAUAUUAGUAUAAGAAAUAACACAAUAUUUCAAUACAAAAAUAUAUCAUAAAGUGUACUAUAGUUUUACAAACUAAAUCGAAAUGUCAUUCACUUCAACCAUUACAAUUACAAGAAACUUCAAAUCAUAUGCUUGAACUUCAAAUCACUAAAAAAACUUGCUUAAACUUCAAAUCGCUAGCAUCCAAACUCAAGAUAGGAUCUGCAACAGUUCAUGAAACUUCAGCGGGUUUCGCUAGGAUUACUGUCACUAAGCAUCUCCUGGCUGCAAAGAAAAAUACACAAUAAGCAACUUCAUCCAAACUCAAAACAUGGAUGAAUAUAGCAUACUUGAUGAAUUUAGUACUACCAGCCAGUUAAGUUAGAUGGUGGAACAAGACAUGUUAGUUGACAAGCAUAUAUUACAACAAUAACAACAUAUACAGUGGAAUUUACAAGCGGAUUUGGGGAAGGUAGUAUAUACGCACAAGUAAUGGCUUAUCCCCACUUACACUUGUCAGGGAGCCAAAGGAAAACAAUUACUAUUGUUUAUCUUCAGCAAAAUAAUACAACUUACAGGAAUAAGAGCCUGCUCAAGAAAUACAUCAGUAGCUACCGUUUUGUGUAACUCAGACCAACUGGGUCUGCGAUGGCCACAGGCCACUACUCCCCUGUACUACUUUUAGUUUUUAAUGAAAUGCUUCAUUUUUCCUUACAAAAAGAAAAUAACAACAAAUGGGUUCCUAGUUAGAUAAAGUCUAAAGAUUAAUUCAUUGGGGAAAGAAAUUAAUUAGUAAUAUCUAUGGCUAGAUCUCACAUUAGUUGUACCCUGAAAUGUACCUCUAAUCCUUAAUUCUUUGAAGUAUCAAAGUUCCAGAGAAAAAGAUUUUACGUAUCAAUGCUAACCACCUUGCCAUGCCUAUAUAACAUAACUAUAGGUGCAGUAAGUUCUCAAGACACUGUAAAAAUAUUCAUUAAACAACACCAACAACUAUAUAAAAGCUAUAACUUGAAAUGUAAAAGCCCAACUAGUGAAUUAGAAAAUAAGUACCCUGAAAUGUGCUUAUUCUUGUUGGUUGUGCUACAGACACUGCAAGGAAAGUACAAGCGGAGAUCAUAUCUUAUCGUCGUAACAUGUAUACUCAAUAUACUCGAUAUGGUUAGUCAAUCGAUAAAGUGAAACAACCUUAUGGUGCUACUUCUAAUCCUACAUGGGCUGAUGACGCGACAAGAAAGAACAUUUCAUCAUCAAACAAAUUGAAAACACCAUAUUUCUCCAACAUCACCACCUUAUAAGAUAGAAACAAAUAUCAUAUCUCUCAAAUUUACCAGAUUCACUUACAACUAACAAAUCAAUUAAGAAGUUAAUCUAUCCAACCAAAAAAAUCAAUUACUAGCAAGUUAUCCUCCAUGUAAACCUUAUUUAAUUAGAUUAUCCAUAUUGAAACCCUAAAAACUCUAAGUUUAGGGGAAAUCCGAAAAGCACAAUAGUUAAAAACCUUAGAAAGAGCUGAAGCUUCUCCAUGGUGCAGGACGUAGGGCAGCGAGCCUAUUGGAGCAUUCUUUUACUCCGAAAUCAGCGAAGAUGAAUUUCUAUUGCAGAUUUUCUGGAAAAAAAAAAUAGAUUCAAAAUAUAAAUCUCAAAACUUUUUACAAACAAUUUGAAGUUGAGAAAAAAAAACUCAGUUGAUUUAUGUAUUGAAAAUGCAUGAAAAUGAGGAAAGGAGAACUCAUUUUUGAAGCUUUCGAUAUCUAAAUUAGGGCGCAAUUGUUAAAUAGAGAGAAAUUGGGAAGUAAGAGAGGAGAAGAGAAGUAUGAACCAAUGAUACCGCCAAUCGCCACCGCCGCCUCCGUCUUUUCCUACUCCGACCACUGCUAUUGUGGAUGAAGACAGUGAUAGCUCCGCCACCAUGGAUUCGCUACCGUGCCGCCUCCAUCUCUUCCUACUCCAACCCUAAUUAUCAUAUGAAAACUGAUAGAGAAAAUAGAAUCGAACUUUCUUUUAUUUGGGGAUUAAAUGAGCAACGAUAUCGUAGAAUUUUAUUUUUUAGGAUUACGGAGGGUAAUAACCCCACAAAUUCUACUAAUAUUAUAGGGGUUAAUCAAACCUCCGUAAUUUGAUGUAAUUUGUGGGGUUGAGUUGACCUCUAUUAUAAAACCUCUAGGGUGUAACUUGUAAGUAAUUUUUUGUAGUGAUUGAACAGAUUGCUACAUUAUCAAACAAUUACAUUAACUGUUUUCUCAAUGUUGUCCAUGAAUUCAUACACAUAUAUAGCUAAUGUAAGUUAUUAACUUGUCCAGAAUCAUGUCAUAAAAGUUUAGGUGGCAUAGGAGUUGGCCCCAAAUAGGCAUAUGAGAAUCAUCCUUAACAUUUGCAGCGGAGCCUGCAACACUUAGAAUCGCCAGACACUGAAGAUUUUGAUAAUUGGGGAUAGAAUGAGAGAGAGCG